rnacentral:rRNA from 1 species
CCCUUAGAUGUUCUGGGCCGCACGCGCGCUACACUGAUGCAUUCAACGAGUUUUACCUUGGCCGAGAGGCCUGGGCAAUCUUUUAAACCUGCAUCGUGAUAGGGAUAGAUUAUUGCAAUUAUUAAUCUUGAACGAGGAAUUCCUAGUAAACGCAAAUCAUCAAUUUGCAUUGAUUACGUCCCUGCCCUUUGUACACACCGCCCGUCGCUCCUACCGAUUGAGUGCUCAGGUGAAUAAUUCGGACUGCAGCAAUGUUUGGAUCCCGAACGUUGCAGCGGAAAGUUUAGUGAACCUUAUCACUUAGAGGAAGGAGAAGUCGUAACA